UACGGAGGGCGCAAGCGUUGUUCGGAAUCACUGGGCGUAACGCGCGUGCAGGCGGCUUGGUAAGUCGGGUGUGAAAUCCCGGAGCUCAACUCCGGAACUGCAACCGAUACUGCCUCGCUAGAGUCCCGGAGAGGAUGGCGGAAUUUCUGGUGUAGAGGUGAAAUUCGUAGAUAUCGGAAGGAACACCAGGGUCGAAGGCGGCCAUCUGGACGGUGACUGACGCUCAGACGCGAAAUCGCUGGGAGCAAAUAGU
rnacentral:rRNA from 1 species